rnacentral:rRNA from 1 species
GGCUCAGGAUGAACGCUAGCGGCAGGCUAACACAUGCAAGUCGAGGGGCAUCGGGAGUAGCAAUACUUGCCGGCGACCGGCGCAAGGGUGCGUAACGCGUGAGCAACAUGCCCGUAUCAGGGGGGAUAAUCCAUGGAAACGUGGUCUAAUACCCCAUAGUAAUUAUGUAAGGCAUCUUAUAUAAUUUAAAGCUUUGGUGGAUACGGAUUGGCUCGCGUGACAUUAGCUGGAUGGUAAGGUAACGGCUUACCAUGGCUACGAUGUCUAGGGGUUCUGAGAGGAAGGUCCCCCCACACUGGAACUGAGAUACGGUCCAGACUCCUACGGGAGGCAGCAGUGAGGAAUAUUGGACAAUGGAUGGAAAUCUGAUCCAGCCAUGCCGCGUGCAAGGAAGACGGCCCUAUGGGUUGUAAACUGCUUUUGUAUGGGAGCAAUAAGGGCUACGUGUAGUCCGAUGAGAGUACCAUACGAAUAAGCACCGGCUAACUCCGUGCCAGCCGCCGC